GACACGUUCACCUUUUUACCGGGCAUCAGUCCUCUGUAAAAAAGACACAGCUGACGGGGGUAUAUGUCGGGCAUCAGUCAUCUGUAAAAAAAGACACAGCUGACGGGGGUAUAUGUCCCGUUAACCUUUUCGACGGGCGUCAGUCAUCUGUAAAAAAAGACACAGCUGACGGGGGUAUAUGUCACGUUCACCUUUUCACCGGGAAUCAGUCCUCUGUAAAAAAGACAC